UGCGUAGGCGGCCGAUUAAGUAGGGUGUGAAAUGCCUCGGCUCAACCGAGGAAUGGCGCUCUAAACUGGUCGGCUUGAGUGAGAUAGGGGUGUGCGGAACUUCCAGUGGAGCGGUGAAAUGUGUUGAUAUUGGAAGGAACGCCGGUAGCGAAAGCGGCACACUGGGUCUCAACUGACGCUGAGGCACGAAAGCCAGGGUAGCGAAACG
rnacentral:rRNA from 1 species